rnacentral:rRNA from 1 species
CGUGAGAUGUUCGGGUUAAGUCCCGCAACGAGCGCAACCCUUAUUGCUAGUUACCAUCAUUAAGUUGGGGACUCUAGCGAGACUGCCAGUGAUAAACUGGGAGGAAGGUGGGGAUGACGUCAAAUCAUCAUGCCCCUUAUGACCUGGGCUACAAACGUGAUACAAUGGCUGAAACAAAGGGCAGCGAAGCAGUGAUGUGGAGCGAAACCCAAAAAGCCAGUCGUAGUCCGGAUCGUAGUCCGCAACUCGACUACGUGAAGUCGGAAUCGCUAGUAAUCGUGGAUCAGAAUGUCACGGUGAAUACGUUCCCGGGUCUU